rnacentral:rRNA from 1 species
AGAGUUUGAUCCUGGCUCAGGAUGAACGCCGGCGGUGUGCCUAAUACAUGCAAGUCGUACGCACUGGCCCAACUGAUUGAUGGUGCUUGCACCUGAUUGACGAUGGAUCACCAGUGAGUGGCGGACGGGUGAGUAACACGUAGGUAACCUGCCCGGAGCGGGGGAUAACAUUUGGAAACAGAUGCUAAUACCGCAUAACAACAAAAGCAGCAUGGCUUUUGUUUGAAAGAUGGCUUUGGCUAUCACUCUGGGAUGGACCUGCGGUGCAUUAGCUAGUUGGUAAGGUAACGGCUUACCAAGGCGAUGAUGCAUAGCCGAGUUGAGAGACUGAUCGGCCACAAUGGAACUGAGACACGGUCCAUACUCCUACGGGAGGCAGCAGUAGGGAAUCUUCCACAAUGGGCGCAAGCCUGAUGGAGCAACACCGCGUGAGUGAAGAAGGGUUUCGGCUCGUAAAGCUCUGUUGUUGGAGAAGAACGUGCGUGAGAGUAACUGUUCACGCAGUGACGGUAUCCAACCAGAAAGUCACGGCUAACUACGUGCCAGCAGCCGCGGUAAUACGUAGGUGGCAAGCGUUAUCCGGAUUUAUUGGGCGUAAAGCGAGCGCAGGCGGUUGCUUAGGUCUGAUGUGAAAGCCUUCGGCUUAACCGAAGAAGUGCAUCGGAAACCGGGCGACUUGAGUGCAGAAGAGGACAGUGGAACUCCAUGUGUAGCGGUGGAAUGCGUAGAUAUAUGGAAGAACACCAGUGGCGAAGGCGGCUGUCUGGUCUGCAACUGACGCUGAGGCUCGAAAGCAUGGGUAGCGAACAGGAUUAGAUACCCUGGUAGUCCAUGCCGUAAACGAUGAGUGCUAGGUGUUGGAGGGUUUCCGCCCUUCAGUGCCGGAGCUAACGCAUUAAGCACUCCGCCUGGGGAGUACGACCGCAAGGUUGAAACUCAAAGGAAUUGACGGGGGCCCGCACAAGCGGUGGAGCAUGUGGUUUAAUUCGAAGCUACGCGAAGAACCUUACCAGGUCUUGACAUCUUGCGCUAACCUUAGAGAUAAGGCGUUCCCUUCGGGGACGCAAUGACAGGUGGUGCAUGGUCGUCGUCAGCUCGUGUCGUGAGAUGUUGGGUUAAGUCCCGCAACGAGCGCAACCCUUGUUACUAGUUGCCAGCAUUAAGUUGGGCACUCUAGUGAGACUGCCGGUGACAAACCGGAGGAAGGUGGGGACGACGUCAGAUCAUCAUGCCCUUAUGACCUGGGCUACACACGUGCUACAAUGGACGGUACAACGAGUCGCAAGCUCGCGAGAGUAAGCUAAUCUCUUAAAGCCGUUCUCAGUUCGGACUGUAGGCUGCAACUCGCCUACACGAAGUCGGAAUCGCUAGUAAUCGCGGAUCAGCAUGCCGCGGUGAAUACGUUCCCGGGCCUUGUACACACCGCCCGUCACACCAUGGGAGUUUGUAACGCCCAAAGUCGGUGGCCUAACCUUUAUGGAGGGAGCCGCCUAAGGCGGGACAGAUGACUGGGGUGAAGUCGUAACAAGGUAGCCGUAGGAGAACCUGCGGCUG